rnacentral:rRNA from 1 species
UCGAGAAUACUUCGCAAUGGACGAAAGUCUGACGAUGCGACGCCGCGUGAACGAUGAAGGCCUUCGGGUUGUAACGUUCUGUUGUCCUGGAACAAGAGUCGCUGACGAAUAGUGAGCGACGAUGAGGGUACAGGAAGAGGAAGCACCGGCUAAUUCCGUGCCAGCAGCUGCGGUAAUACGGAAGGUGCAAGCGUUAGUCGGAAUUACUGGGCGUAAAGGGUGCGUAGGCGGUGAUAUAAGUCGGGCGUGAAAUCCCGAGGCUCAACCUCGGAACUGCGUACGAGACUGUAUCACUAGAG